CAAUAGCGUAUAUUAAAGUUGUUGCAGUUAAAAAGCUCGUAGUUGAACCUUGGGCCUGGCUGGCCGGUCUGCCUCACCGCAUGCACUGGUCCGGCCGGGCCUUUCCCUCUGGGGAUCCGCAUGCCCUUCACUGGGUGUGUCGGGGAACCAGGACUUUUACUGUGAAAAAAUUAGAGUGUUCAAAGCAGGCCUAUGCUCGAAUACAUUAGCAUGGAAUAAUAGAAUAGGACGUUGCGGUUCUAUUUUGUUGGUUUCUAGGACCGCCGUAAUGAUUAAUAGGGACAGUCGGGGGCGUCAGUAUUCAAUCGUCAGAGGUGAAAUUCUUGGAUCGAUUGAAGACUAACUACUGCGAAAGCAUUCGCCAAGGAUGUUUUCAUUAA
rnacentral:rRNA from 1 species